rnacentral:lncRNA from 1 species
CUGUCUGGUGUAGAGGUCUCUGGAGAACAAAUGAGCAAGAGAUGGUUCAUCUUUGGCCAUCCCUUCCUCCAGUGCCGUCUUCCCUCCGUGGACCAUCUCAUCCAUCCUGUGUCUCAGGAGGCAAGAUGACUUCCAGCUUGACAUCACCUACCCCUAUGUCCUUCCUGAGCUUCGGUGACUUAUUUAUGUGGAUAAUUCGCUGGAGAUCCUCACAGUCCCUCCACUGAACAUGGCACCGUUUGACUCUGCCAUCCAUGCUCCCACCCUUUUCCCCGUCUAUCCCUCACUCCCCAUGACCUGCUUCUUUGUCAGUCUUCAUUGUCCCAGCUCCUGCAGACCUAGUUGCCCAAACCAGCAACUGGGUUGACACCUUCUCUCAGCUUGCACCUCUCAUGCUGCCUGUUUACAACCAGCCCUCAUUUAUGUGCCUGUAUGUGGACUAGGAGAUAAACCUGUUUGUAAGAUUGUAAUGUGCUAUACACAUAGGGCAGAAUCAUAAUUAUAACUCGUUGAGCAAGAGAAAAAAAAGACAUCCAUCAGCCGAGCAUUAUUUGAGCCCAUUCCUGUAUCUCUCCCAAAGCGGGAGGAGUACUGAAUAAUCUUUAGUUCCCAUCCACUUAGUAGCUGUAGUAGAUCGUAAAAACAGACACAUGUCUUCCUAUCCCUGUAUUCUUGACCCCUGUGAGGUGAUCUUGCAACUUCUCCCAUCAAAAGGUGAGGCACUUCCCACUCCUUGAAUAUAACUUUGACCAUGUGAUUUGCGUUGACCAGUGAGAGAGUAGUAAAUACCACACAAACAUAGGUUGAAAAACACUUGAAC